GGACUGAAAGUCAAUUGCAAAGUAGUCAAUGAAAAUUGGUUUUUUUUGUUUGUUUGUUUUUUUAAGAUUUUAUUUAUUUGAGAAAGAGCACGUGAGACCAGGGCUCCAUCCCAGGACCCUGGCAUCACAGUCUGAGCUGAAGGCAGACGCUUAACCGACUGAGCCACCCAGGUGCCCUGAAAGAUUUUUUUUUUACAGCCGAGUGUUAGCCAUAAUUGGGAACCCCUAGCCCCUUAUCCUAAAGAAGUCCAAAGAAACCACACCACUUGUGCAUCACCACUUUCAGUGAACCCUUCCUUUUUAAUAUCUGUGCCCUGGCACUGUGCCUUUGUAACAUACAUGUCCAGGUUCUUGCCCAAGAUCUUGAUGAGUCCAAGGGGAGUGGGUGAGUUGUGAGGAGGAGAGAGGAGAGGAACUCUGAAUUUCCCUUUAAAGACCUCCCAUACUACUACAUUGCUGUGGUGUAAAUACCAUUGUAAAAUACUUGUUCUUUGGGAAACUUGAAAACUUCAAACUCAGAUCUUGAUAAGAAAGUGAAGAGGAAGUGAGUUUUAAUUGUUGAAAAAUAUAUCAUUUUGGAAGCAUUUAAAAAAACUGUAAACUGAGAGUGAGCAGUUUAACAGCAAUCCAAAAAUAAGUAAAUGAAACCAGCCACUCAGUAGUUUUACUUUAUCUUAAAUGUUAAAUGCUAGUCUGGUUCUAGAACUGAAAAGGACUUACUUGUCUUUCUAAAAGCCUAUGUGUUGAAUAUAUAGUGACAUUGCUUCUUCUGUGGCUCUGAAGAACUGAUUUUGCUACUUUAUUGUCAGACCUUUUAUGUAAGAAAUAUGAUCAGGGAUUUCCCAUGCAAUUGAGAACCGAGAAUUCAGAUGGACACUUGAGCUUUUUCCCUCAAAUUUCCCUUUCCCUUCUCUCCUGUUGUAUAUUAAAUAGGUGAGAUUUUUAAAAGUGAAAAUUGAAUUGUUUUUCAUAUUUAUUGUGAACUGGCAGAAAAAUGGAAAGGAUCAUUUAAGACAGUUGACUUGGCUAGAUAGAAAAUAUUCCUCUCUGUCUUAUUUCCCUGUCCUCCUUUUCAUCUCGAUUUAAAAAAAUUAGAUACAAAUGCAAAAUCCCAAACUAAUAGAUUUAGGAUAAAUUAAAAUUCAGGUAGAAUUAAAGUAUUGUGACUUACUUAUAUAGCCUUUGACACCAAAUAUGUGUAGUCUUUGAAAAAUGGUAUUUUAUGUUUGGCCUUGUCCCAUGAGUAUGCUCAUUAAAUUCUAGAGUCAGGUAUUCACUCUUGCAGAAGAGGUGGUUUGGACAGCUAGUGGUUUUCCUGUGGAUGUGGAAGGGCGGAGCUCUGUACAUUUGAUAACCAUUUAAAGACAAGGAGGAACCACUCCAGAAAUGUUUGAUGUUUAGAAGACUAAAGUUAUUCCACCAGGGGCUUCUAGUGGCUGCUAUAACCCUCCAUCACUAGUGAGCAUUUCCGGUGGAGAGAGCGGGGUGUGGCUAGUGAGGAACCGAACAAAUUCUGAAGCUUUCUGACUGGAAGGAUGAUGUUGCUUUUCACAGAAAGGAUGCUGAAAAGGGGUGGAACUUGAGACGUUCCAAACACGGACCCUUUUUCCUGUCACGGUCAGAGUGUGCCGCCCAGUUAUUAGAGGUUUCAAAUUAUUAGUUUGAUCAUCUCUUCUAGACAACAUGGUCCUGUUAGCACGACUGAGACAUCAAAGGCCUAUAAACAUUCUAAUCUGCUGCUGUGAAAACUAGACAUCAGAAAGCAGAAACAUUCGGACGUGUAUACACAUUAAAUUUCAAAAUGUACGAAAUCUGGUCUUUAAGCCAUUUUAAAACAAAGGAUGAAGCAGGUGAGAAUUUUUUCAAUAACAUUUGAACUUUCUAGAGUUUUUACUCUUGGUUUUAAAGACACAUAAUGUAGGGGACUUUAAUAUAAGAAUAAUGAAAGUACAUUUUUAUUUGCUUUGUAUGGAAAAUAUCUAAUUAAGCUUAAUUCUGUGAUGGCCUGAUUCUGGGCACGACGCAGAUCAUUCUGUAAACAUAAAGGAUCUGCAGAGAGCUGAAAUACCUACAGCUCAUGUUAGAGGAAGUAUAUAUAUUUUUUAAAUAAACAAAUCUUAGAUUUCUUUCUAAGUCUGUACCAAUAGUUCUAAUGGAAUGUGGGUAGAGCCAUUAAAUGUUGAACCCAGCAAAUUUGACAUCUUGCCCUGCCUACCAGAGUAAGGUGAAAAUAGUUGGUACUUAUCUUCAUUUAAGAGAACAUAAGUAUGGUAAUUUCCUGCUAAAAUCUGUAAGUGUGGUGGCCAUUGACUUUUAACAUUUGCUAAGAUUAUCAAAAAUGGAAGAAAUAGCAUAUUCAGUAGUUUCAACAUAUUCAGUAGUUUCAGAAUGAAUAGUCUGUAUGUAAAGCAUACAUACAAUAACUUGCAGGAUUUGAUGGCUAGUUUAAUGUGAGAUGUCAUUGGCUUGUAUUCUUUGUAACAGAGUAGUCAUACUUUUCAGUGGAAUGUACAUUUUACCUGGAUGUCAGCUGUCUAGUUUUUAUAAUUCUAGUAUGGAAGAACUAGACGCCUGCCAUAUACCCUGUGCUGAGCGCAGAGAAUGGUGGUGCCAUCUAAGCAUUGUGUUCGUGGACUAAUCAAAUUGUAAUUGUGCAUUUAUUUAAAGAAAUUUCUGGAUUUCAUAAAUAUUUUAUCAAUACAGGAGAAAAUAAGGCAAGUCCCUAAGUUAAGUUUCAAAUGUGCUUUUAAUAGAGGAUCUUAUUAAAUAUGAUUGCAUUCUUACACUGUUGUGAUUAACUUUUCAUCAAUCUGUUUUCUUCCAAGACUAAUUUGUCUUUGUGCAGGUUUUGAACACCUACUCUGUAUAAAACGUCAAGCUGAAUACUGAGAGAAGUAGAAGUUAGAAGAGUCAAUGACAGCUUGUUUUCAAGCUCAGGAUAGAAGCCAUUUCAGAUGCUGAAUACAGGCCUUCCUUGUUUUAUCAUGCUUUUUACUUGAUAUUUUAUAUUGCCUUUUUUUUUUUUUUAAACCAAUUGAAAGCUUGUGGCAGCCCUUGCAUCAAGCAAGUCUUUGGGUGCCAUUUUUCCAACAGCAUUUGCUCACUUCGUGUUUCUGUGUCACAUUUUGAUAAUUCUCUUAAUACUUCGAACUUUUGCAAUGUUAUUAUAUUUAUUACGAUGAUCCGUGAGCAGUGAUUAUGACUCCCUGAAAGUUCAAAGGAUGGUUAGAACUUCUUAGCAAUAAAGUGUUUUUAAAUUAAGGUACAAUAUACAUUGCCUUUUUAGACAUAAUGCUAUCACACACUUAGUAGACUACAGCCCAGAGUAAACAUAACUUUUAUACACACGGAAACCAAAAAAGUCAUUUGACUUGCUUUAUUGCACUAGUCUGGAACCAAACCCGCAGUAUGUCUGGGGUAUACAUGUAGUCACUUGCUGAGAACGGAGAUUCUGUGUGGUAGAAGUGUUAUGGCUGGCUGUUUAGAGAAUAGUAUGAGUAGAGAUGAUGCUGCAAAGAGCGAGAUGGUUAAGGGUGGUAAACGCAGUUCCCACUGCACUUGGGUUAAAGCCCCAAAUCCUCAGUGUGCUAUUUGAGACUGGUUGAUCUGGCUCAUACCUGUUUGCCCUUCUUCCAUGGUCUCUGCCCACAUUGCCCUUCUUUCUGAUCCUCCAGGUCACCAUAUUCUUUCCUGUCUGAGGAUAGGUAAUUCCCUCUACCUGGAAUGCUACUUCUCUUACUCUUUGCCUAGCCAAUUCCUGUUCAGCCUUUAGAUAUCAGCUUGAACGCCACUUCCUCCAGGAGACCCCACCAGGCUGCCGUAUAAGACCACACAAGCUGCACAUCCCAGAACACCCAGCCCAGAAAGAGAAGAGCACGUGCUGAGGUUGUGCAGAGUGGCAGCCCAAUCUAAAUUAAGUCCCCUGUUGAUGCUCUAUCAUAGCCUCAAGUGUUAUUCCUUCAUGAUAACAUCUUGAGCCCCUUAGAUACCUGAUUAUCUGUGUAAUGGAACUAUAAGCUCCCCGAGGGAGGCGCCAUAUCAGUUUGUAUCCCUAGACCCUGUGAUUCACUUUUCAGGAAAUAUUUUUAAAUGCAUGAACCAACUCUAGAUCACUCUUCAAAUUUGGCAAUUCAGCAGUAAAGAAAGAGAGGAAGGAUAUCAGCUGAGAUGAGUCAUGUAUUCAAGGAAAUGGAUUGUGGAUUGGUCUAGGAUCAGGAGAUCUGAAUGUGUCUAUAGGCAAAAGGAAAGGAGCUAUUACCAGGAGAAACUGAAGAUGUAAAUGGAUUAAGGCUCCACAGGAGUUAUGUGAUAAAAAAGGUCAACCUUAAAAAGAAGAUCCCUGUUUACCCUUAGAUAGGAGAAACUGUUUAGAAAUAAUCUAUUACUGAGGGCUCAAGUAAAAUUAGAUAUAUGAAUUAAUCUACUCAUAAGUGCCACAACACUUUCAAUUAUAGUGACUUGAUAGCUAAAGAAAAAUGCUAAUGGAAAAUGUUUGGAGCACCUGGGUAGCUUAGUUGGUUAAGUGUCUGACUCUUGAUUUCGGCUCGGGUCAUGAUCUCAGGGUCAUGAAAUAAAGCCCCUCGUCAGGCUCUGUGCUGGGCGUGGAGCCUGCCUUUGAUUCUCUCUCUCUCUCUCUCUCUCUCUCUCUCUCUCUCUCUCUCGGCGUGGUGGGGGGGAAGGAAGAAGAAAGAAAAUGUUUAAAAUCGUGUACAUACCAGUAACUUCUGUGGUUCACAGUCAAACAAUGCACUGUCAUAGAUCUGUAGAUCUGUAUGUCCCUUUUGGAGGUGGAAGGUUCCUGCAAGCGCCAAAAUCUGGUCAUGCCGGAGUAAUUAUGACUUAUGCUGAAAAAUUGAGGAAUUCUGUCUCUGGUUAGUGAUUUGGGGUAAAUACAAGAGUAAUUGCAGAGGUAAGACCAUUUUUUAAAUGGACAAAUACUAUUUUUAGCACAUUUUGCUUUGUUCUCUACCUGAGAGACUGGUUUUCUUUAGUGAAGUUUUACCAGGAAUCCUGACCAGUUUCAUGUAUUCUGUCUGUAAAGUGGAUUUCACAUAAAACAGCAAGAUUGUCGUUGUGAAGGAGUUGGAUUUGGAGUCAGAUCACUGAAGAAAUCGGUAACAGUAGCACAGUUUUACUAGAUUGCCACUAUCUCUGUAGGACGGAAGAUAGGGUAAACAAUCGAUGACUAACUUCGUGGCACAGGGGGGGCUAUUGGAUAGCCCAUUAAGUCCAUGAAGGUAAACUCAACCUUGUAACCUGCCCCUCAUGUUUAGGAGUAGGAGUGAAAGUGUCCUCUGUAGGCCACAGUGCGGUGUGCUCCAUCCCAGGACCCUGAGAUCAUGACCUGAGCCGAAAUCAAGAGUUGGCUGGUUGGCCGCUUAACCGACUGAGCCACCCAGGUGCCCUUCAUUUCUUCCUUUCUUACUCACCUGUGUUGGCAUUCCUUUGAAAAAAUACUAUUUUUGGAAACAAAAUGCUGUUUUUGAAAAGAAUGGCAUAUGUCUAUUCAACAAUGUCAUUUAUGCACUUAAUAGUAUAUCUAGGACACCUUUCCACAGCUGUCUGAGAUAAAAUAACUUCUUUAACCAGCUUCCUUUGGACAUUAGGAUACUGGACAGACACUGGGAUUGUUUUCCAGAUUUUUUUCUUUCAUUUUUUAUAUAUAAAUAGUCUCUGUACAGAUAUUUUUGCUUACCUGUGAAAAGCAAUCUGAAGGAUCUAACCCUAGAAGUCAAAUUUCUGGGUCAAAAGCAUGUGGGUUUUUAAAUUUUAGUAGAUAGUAUCAUUGUUCUUCAAAAAUUUAAUACCAGCUUACACCUCUCCCAGUGGUAUAUUUGAGUGCCCUAUUUCCCACACUCUUGAAUUUAAUCAUUACCCAUUGUUAGCAUCUCAUUUUGAUUUGCAUUUCGUACAUUUGAGUGAGUUUAAAGAUAUUUUCUUACAUUUGCAGGUUAGUUUUAUUUCCCAGUGAAUUGUCUGUAAUCAUCGUCCAUUUUUCAGUGGCUAUCUUUUUCUUAACAAUUUUAAAAACUCUGUGCAUAUUAAAUUUUUUUUUAAGAUUUUAUUUACUUAUUUGACAGAGAGAGACACAGCGAGAGAGGGAACACAAGCAGGGGGAGUGGGAGAGGGAGAAGCAGGCUUCUGACAGAGCAGGGAGCCUGAUGUGGGGCUCGAUCCCAGGGUCCUGGGAUCAUGACCUGAGCCGAAGGCAGACGCUUAACGACUGAGCCACCCAGGUGCCCCUGCAUAUUAAAUUUUUGUUGCAAAUAUUUUCCUUGGCUUAUUGUUUAUUUUUUGCUUACACUUGUUUUUUUUGUUUGUUUGUUUGAUUUGGUUUUUACUUUUUUAAAAAUCAGUUGUGGAUUUGUUUUGUUUGGUUGGUUGUUUUUUGGCUGCUAGGUUUUAUGUCAUAAAGAGCUUCCUGUACUUCAAAAUUAAUUUAAACAUUUCAUCCAUAUUUUCUUUAAGUAUUUUUAUAGUCCCUUUAAAUGUGGUAUAUCUGGAAUUUAUUUUGGUUUAAGGAAUGAAGGUAGAGAGAGAGCCAGCCUUAAGUUUUCCGAAUGGCUAGCUGUGGUCUAAACACCAUUUUUUGAGCACUCUCUCUUCUUUUCAUAGAAUCCUUACAUUUGAGAUUUGAGGUUUUCUGAUAAAUAUUUUGUGUUUACAGUACCAUUUAGGUAAAACAGUAUGGAGAUGCGUUGGGAAAGCUGUGCAUGUAAUAUUUAUUACAGGAUUCCCAUGUAAAUUAAGGCUGCUCCUACAACUAAACAGUACAAGGAAUAGCUUAUGAUCAGAAGAAAAAAAGCAUAGCAUGCGUAUGGUUUUUGCUUAGAUUAGGAGAUGAGAUGUGUAUGUGUCAGAAGGGAGAUCUUAGAAUAUGUAAAAGUACUAGAAUCAAAGUAAACUAAGGAGAGACCAUAAUAAUCAGGUUGCAGGUUCACUCCUAGUGUAUCAUGUAAUAACCCUUUUUGUUAAAAAACAAACAGUCUAAACUAAGGAAAUUAUUUUCAUGACAAUGUAUUUUAAAAAUUGGAUGUUCUUAAAAUAAUAGACAUUUUUAUAGAAAUUUGAUUCUGUGAUUUGUUGACAUUUAUAACUAAUGUACUGGAAUUUAUUGAUCUUAUUGAAGGAGAGACCUCACUGUGACAUUCCUAUGUGACAAGUGGAGUUUUAUGAUUAGUCUAACUUAAGACUGAGUAUAAGGGUACUUAUAGUAAGCUAUAAGACAUGUCUUCUGAGUCAUAAAAUCUCAUUACUUAUCAUUGAAGUCCUUGAUCAGAGUGGGAGUAGUGAAGCUUGUUAAAAGCAUAGUGGCACACAGUAUGUGUUGUUGCAUUUCUCCUGCCUGGGUGCAUUGGUUCAGGGAAACGGUAGGACUGUAACUUGUAAAACAAAACAGACUAUGAUUGAAGCAAAAAGGAAUGAAGAUAAAAGUUACUUAAGGGAAAGAUCCAAGUUUUGGAGAGGCAGAUGAAACCUCUUGUUACUUUUCGUUUUUGCCAAAGAAUGGGAGCAAACAUGAGUUGAGAGAUGAUGUGCGUGAAAGGACAGGUUCUCUGUGUUGCUGCGGGACACAUUUGGGAUUUACAGAUAAGUGAAUGUUCAAGGCAUCAAGUAGAAAAAGUGUAUCUAUCAGUUAUGUUUUCUCUGAAAUUUACUGAAACUGAAAGGAGCAGGGACCUAUGACAUAUGUGGUAAAGGAAGGAGGAGUGACCGCUUAUAUAUAAAUAAGACCAGCAUUCAGUUUUCCUUGAUUAAAAUUUGAAUGUAUCAAAAUGUAAGACUGUUAGAAUCAUUUUAUGAACAUCAGUGGGAAAUGAACUUCCAAGAGCUUAUUGAUUUAAAAAAGGGUAUUUUCACUUGAUGCAAACCAUAACCUAAAACCUAGGUAAAGCUCAAAACAAUUCUUUUCUUCUUUAUUCUAAAUAUUUAAGUGUAAAUUACAAGUUAUUACUUUAAAGAAUGGCUCUGAAAUCUAUUAACUUCAGUCAGACCAUUUAAUUCUGUUACAUUUGUCUAGAUAUUAAAUGUAGUUGGACUUCACAUGAAAAAUUACAGAAGAUAAGCGAACCCAGGAAAUGUGUUUACUACUCUUGAUUUAAGCUCUAAGCGAAAGACAUGAGGCCUAAGACUGAGAUGAGGUUGUUUUGAGGCCAUCUGAUUUCUGACUAGAAGGUGUGCGAUCGCCUCGUCCUGAAACCACUUCAAACAG